AUUGAACGCUGGCGGCAUGCCUUACACAUGCAAGUCGAACGGUAACAGGCCCUUCGGGGUGCUGACGAGUGGCGGACGGGUGAGUAAUGCUUAGGAAUCUGCCUAGUAGUGGGGGAUAACCCGGGGAAACUCGGGCUAAUACCGCAUACGCCCUACGGGGAAAGCGGGGACGUUCGGCCUCGCGCUAUUAGAUGAGCCUAAGUCCGAUUAGUCUAGUUGGUAGGGUAAUGGCCUACCAAGGCGACGAUCGGUAGCUGGUCUGAGAGGACGACCACGCCACGCUGGGAC
rnacentral:rRNA from 1 species